rnacentral:rRNA from 1 species
UACGUAGGGUGCGAGCGUUGUCCGGAAUUAUUGGGCGUAAAGGGCUCGUAGGCGGUUUGUCGCGUCGGGAGUGAAAACCUUGGGCUUAACUCAGGGCUUGCUUUCGAUACGGGCAGACUAGAGGUAUGCAGGGGAGAACGGAAUUCCUGGUGUAGCGGUGAAAUGCGCAGAUAUCAGGAGGAACACCGGUGGCGAAGGCGGUUCUCUGGGCCGAUACUGACGCUGAAGAGCGAAAGCAUGGGUAGCGAACAGG